AUUUUAUUUUCUAUUUAGAUAUUAAGUCUUCUGUUGAGGAUUUUAGUCAAACAAAUGUUAGAUCAUUUGGUCAAUUACUCGUUAAUAUUCAAAGCUUUCAACUCAUUGUAGGUGCAAAUGGGAUUAUUUAUUCAGAUUAAGCUUAAAGAGACUUAAAAAAUUAGAGGAAGCUCAUUGGUCUGCAAAGUCUGAGGAUGUUCUUAUGUGCAAACUAAAAGGAAAAAGUGAGAACCAAACUUUGUUGCAUCAUAUGAAAUUGAAGAUAUUACACUUAUUAUUUCUUCUGGGAAGCAGCUGUUGAGUACAUAAACUGUGGAAAAGCUAUUUAUUCAAGAGUUGCCAGAAUUUGUAAGAAUGGUCCGAGGAGGAGAUUUUCUUUUGAAAGGAAAAUUUACCACUUUUCUGAAAGUUCAGUUCUGGGAAAUUAUCCCUUUCCAUUUAACUAACUUCAAAGUGUUCAUUUUAUUGAAAAGAAAGAAAUAUUCUAUGCAACAUUUACCACUUCCGUGUGAAGAAAAUUCUGGAUAGGCCUAGAUGUCAACAGCUACAAGAGAAUGAUCAUUUAUGUGCAAGAAAUGGUCGAGAUGUAAGAGUACUACCUCAUGCAGAUGUUGUCCAAAGAUUGCCCCGGAAUCGAAUCUGCAGAAAUCAUUGCGGAAAGAAGAGGUUUCUUCUUCAAGGAGUAAAGGAAGAACUAAAGUAAAAUAUUUAUGGAACUGCACUUUAUAUUGUAUAAUUUAUCAGCGAUUGAGAAAUCCUUCGCCUGUGUUUUUAAGUACCACUAAUGAAGCUCAAACAUCAGUUCUGAAACACCACCAG